UUUAAUAAUCACCACAAGAAGAGAAAAAAAUGUGGGGGUAACUAAAAGGCAACAAAUAGGGUCUAAGAAACUCGGAUGAUAGAGAAAACGAGAAAGAUUCCUACAGAUCUACGCUCUAGCGCAAGACCUCACCUGAUCAGCUCCAAGAACCUUUCUCCAGUUCAUGAACUCCGGCUAUUGUAGUCCCGCCUGGUGAAGUAACAUCAUCUUUCAACACACCCGGAUGCUUCCCCGUUUUGCUCACCAUUGUUGCACCUCCAAGAACCUGCCAUAGACGCACACAGCUCAUUCUUCUCUUUCUAGUUUUCAAAACAUUAAGACAAACAGAA